UACGAAGGGGGCUAGCGUUGCUCGGAAUCACUGGGCGUAAAGGGUGCGUAGGCGGGUCUUUAAGUCAGGGGUGAAAUCCUGGAGCUCAACUCCAGAACUGCCUUUGAUACUGAGGAUCUUGAGUCCGGGAGAGGUGAGUGGAACUGCGGGUGUAGAGGUGAAAUUCGUAGAUAUUCGCAAGAACACCAGUGGCGAAGGCGGCUCGCUGGCCCGAUACUGACGCUGAGGCACGAAAGCGUGGGGAGCAAACAGG
rnacentral:rRNA from 1 species